rnacentral:rRNA from 1 species
GACGAACGCUGGCGGCGUGCCUAAUACAUGCAAGUUGAGCGCUGAAGGUUGGUACUUGUACCAACUGGAUGAGCAGCGAACGGGUGAGUAACGCGUGGGGAAUCUGCCUUUGAGCGGGGGACAACAUUUGGAAACGAAUGCUAAUACCGCAUAAAAACUUUAAACACAAGUUUUAAGUUUGAAAGAUGCAAUUGCAUCACUCAAAGAUGAUCCCGCGUUGUAUUAGCUAGUUGGUGAGGUAAAGGCUCACCAAGGCGAUGAUACAUAGCCGACCUGAGAGGGUGAUCGGCCACAUUGGGACUGGGACACGGCCCAAACUCCUACGGGAGGCAGCAGUAGGGAAUCUUCGGCAAUGGACGAAAGGCUGACCGAGGAACGCCGGGUGAGGGAAGAAGGUUUUCGGAUCGUAAAACUCUGUUGGUAGAGAAGAACGUUGGUGAGAGUGGAAAGCUCAUCAAGUGACGGUAACUACCCAGAAAGGGACGGCUAACUACGUG